CAACGUGGGUAACCUGCCCAUCAGAAGGGGAUAACACUUGGAAACAGGUGCUAAUACCGUAUAACACUAUUUUCCGCAUGGAAGAAAGUUGAAAGGCGCUUUUGCGUCACUGAUGGAUGGACCCGCGGUGCAUUAGCUAGUUGGUGAGGUAACGGCUCACCAAGGCCACGAUGCAUAGCCGACCUGAGAGGGUGAUCGGCCACACUGGGACUGAGACACGGCCCAG
rnacentral:rRNA from 1 species